rnacentral:lncRNA from 1 species
CAGAGUAAGGUUUGGUCUCGCUGCUCUGUUCCGGAGUCGUCGUCUCCAUAGAAGAUGAUGCAAAGCACUUACGGGAAUGAGAAAUUCUGGGUUUUGUGGCAGAGAGGGGUACAAUUGGGAAUACAAAUAAACGUUCCUACUUGCUUUAUUAUCAAGUCCGGUGAAUCAAGUGCUAGAGAUUUUAAUCAACAAUGCAAAGAAAAUAGUUGCAGGUCAAAGGCACUUUUUGGAGUCAUCUUGAACCUGUGAAGGUAUUAUAUACUAUGAGUAUGAGUCCUCUUCCGACGGAGAUAUGAAAGUGGCUAUGCAACAAUUUCUUGUUUCUUACGUCUCUUAUGAACAC